GUUGGCUAUGGUGAUAUCGCACCUAAAACUACGAUGGGUAAGAUUGUUGGUUCAGUAUGCGCCAUCUUUGGAGUAUUAACCAUUGCUCUGCCGGUACCUGUUAUCGUUAAUAAU
rfam:Trichoplax adhaerens TRIADscaffold_1 genomic scaffold, whole genome shotgun sequence.